rnacentral:rRNA from 1 species
CCUGGCGGCCAUAGCGAGCGGGAACCACCCCUUCCCAUCCCGAACAGGACCGUGAAACUGCUUUGCGCCGAUGAUAGUGUGGCACUUGCCCAUGCGAAAGUAGGUCACCGCCAGGUCCUAUACUGAA